rnacentral:rRNA from 1 species
AUGUUGAAUAUCGAGAAUGUCCACUGGAUGACCAUGGUCAUGCACAUGAUCAAGCAAGAAUUCCAAGUUCUCGAUUCGCUCUAUCCUCUGGACCUGACAGAAAAGACCGUGAAAGCACUGCGAAUGGCUAUAGCACAUGAUAUGCGUCAAGCAAAUCUUCUUACACCAGGGAAAUAUCCGGACGAUGAUAUCACUUCUGAGUAUGUUGAAUGGGUUGAUGGGGAGUGGGAUAGCAAAGCAAAGUCAGUCAUUAAGUAUUUGAUCAUGAGGAACACGAAACUGGAGACUAAGAUUACAGAAUAUGAAGUUGAAACUAAAAGGAAUGAGAAAUAA